CCCUUAGAUGUCCUGGGCCGCACGCGCGCUACACUGAUGCAUGCAACGAGUUUAUAACCUUGGCCUGAAAGGUCUGGGUAAUCUUUUGAACGUGCAUCGUGAUAGGGAUAGAUUAUUGCAAUUGUUAAUCUUGAACGAGGAAUUCCUAGUAAACGCGAGUCAUCAGCUCGCAUUGAUUACGUCCCUGCCCUUUGUACACACCGCCCGUCGCACCUACCGAUUGAAUGGUUUGGUGAAGAUCUCGGACUUCGAUAUUUAUUCUUUAUUGAGUUUAUAUUGUGGGAAGUUAUCUAAACCUCAUCAUUUAGAGGAAGGUGAAGUCGUAACA
rnacentral:rRNA from 1 species